rnacentral:rRNA from 1 species
GACGAACGCUGGCGGCGUGCCUAAUACAUGCAAGUUGAGCGCUGAAGGUUGGUACUUGUACCGACUGGAUGAGCAGCGAACGGGUGAGUAACGCGUGGGGAAUCUGCCUUUGAGCGGGGGACAACAUUUGGAAACGAAUGCUAAUACCGCAUAAAAACUUUAAACACAAGUUUUAAGUUUGAAAGAUGCAAUUGCAUCACUCAAAGAUGAUCCCGCGUUGUAUUGGCUAGUUGGUGAGGUAAAGGCUCACCAAGGCGAUGAUACAUAGCCGACCUGAGAGGGUGAUCGGCCACAUUGGGACGGAGACACGGCCCAAACUACUACGGGAGGCAGCAGUAGGGAAUCUUCGGCAAUGGACGAAAGUCUGACCGAGCAACGCCGCGUGAGUGAAGAAGGUUGUCGGAUCGUAAAACUCUGUUGGUAGAGAAGAACGUUGGUGAGAGUGGAAAGCUCAUCAAGUGACGGUAACUACCCAGAAAGGGACGGCUAACUACGUG